rnacentral:rRNA from 1 species
UACGAAGGGGGCAAGCGUUGUUCGGAAUCACUGGGCGUAAAGCGCACGCAGGCGGAACUAUAAGUCUGGGGUGAAAGCCCGGGGCUCAACCUCGGAAUUGCAUUGGAUACUGUCGGGCUCGAGUACGUGAGGGGUGAGGGGAAUUCCUGGUGUAGAGGUGAAAUUCGUAGAUAUUAGGAAGAACACCAGUGGCGAAGGCGGCUCACUGGCCCGUUACUGACGCUGAGGUGCGAAAGCGUGGGGAGCAAACAGG